rnacentral:rRNA from 1 species
GAUGAACGCUAGCGGCAGGCUUAAUACAUGCAAGUCGAGGGGCAGACGCGGGUAGCAAUACCUGGCGGCGACCGGCAAACGGGUGCGGAACACGUACGCAACCUUCCCAUAACUGGUGAAUAGCCCUCCGAAAGGAGGACUUAAUACACCGUAAGAUAACGGAGAGGCAUCUCUCUGUUAUUAUAGCUACGGCGGUUUUGGAUGGGCGUGCGCCUGAUUAGGUAGUUGGCGGGGUAACGGCCCACCAAGCCUACGAUCAGUAACUGGUGUGAGAGCACGACCAGUCACACGGGCACUGAGACACGGGCCC